rnacentral:rRNA from 1 species
AGUGAACGCUGGCGGUAGGCCUAACACAUGCAAGUCGAACGGCAGCACAGUAAGAGCUUGCUCUUACGGGUGGCGAGUGGCGGACGGGUGAGGAAUACAUCGGAAUCUACUUUUUCGUGGGGGAUAACGUAGGGAAACUUACGCUAAUACCGCAUACGACCUACGGGUGAAAGCAGGGGAUCUUCGGACCUUGCGCGAUUGAUUGAGCCGAUGUCGGAUUAGCUAGUUGGCGGGGUAAAGGCCCACCAAGGCGACGAUCCGUAGCUGGUCUGAGAGGAUGAGCAGCCACACUGGAACUGAGACACGGUCCAGACUCCUACGGGAGGCAGCAGUGGGGAAUAUUGGACAAUGGGCGCAAGCCUGAUCCAGCCAUGCCGCGUGGGUGAAGAAGGCCUUCGGGUUGUAAAGCCCUUUUGUUGGGAAAGAAAAGCAGCAGGUUAAUACCCCGCUGUUCUGACGGUACCCAAAGAAUAAGCACCGGCUAACUUCGUG